rnacentral:rRNA from 1 species
ACUCCUACGGGAGGCAGCAGUGGGGAAUAUUGCACAAUGGGCGCAAGCCUGAUGCAGCCAUGCCGCGUGUAUGAAGAAGGCCUUCGGGUUGUAAAGUACUUUCAGCAGUGAGGAAGGUGGAGUCGUUAAUAGCUGCAUUAUUUGACGUUAGCGACAGAAGAAGCACCGGCUAACUCCGUGCCAGCAGCCGCGGUAAUACGGAGGGUGCGAGCGUUAAUCGGAAUUACUGGGCGUAAAGCGCAUGCAGGUGGUUUGUUAAGUCAGAUGUGAAAGCCCGGGGCUCAACCUCGGAAUUGCAUUUGAAACUGGCAGACUAGAGUACUGUAGAGGGGGGUAGAAUUUCAGGUGUAGCGGUGAAAUGCGUAGAGAUCUGAAGGAAUACCGGUGGCGAAGGCGGCCCCCUGGACAGAUACUGACACUCAGAUGCGAAAGCGUGGGGAGCAAACAGG